UCCCGGAUAGUAUAGUGGCUAGUACCUCCGCCUGUCAAUCAGGCAGUCCGCGGAAGACCGGGGUUCGAUUCCCCGUCCGGGAG
rfam:Spizellomyces punctatus DAOM BR117 chromosome Tnknown supercont1.19, whole genome shotgun sequence.